rnacentral:lncRNA from 1 species
AAAGUCGAAUAACAAGACACGGUAAUGUAAUAGCUACAACACUGGGAAAGAAAACAUUAUCAUCAUCAUCACUCAAAUUUAUAUUUGUGUUCAUACAGUAAGGCUGGUAAUGGCUUAUAUCUGAUGAGGGGUCCAUGAAGCUUGUGCAGCAACAAACACCUCGCAGAACUUCUUAACUGAACCCAGAAAAAAUAAACUUGAUCAAAUCUUUUUAUACAUCUUCAGGAGGUUAGAAAAGCUGUUGAAAAAUCAAAAAACCAAAACCAUGUACAUGCCAGACUUCAAGCAAUCCUAAAGUCUAGGAAGAUGACAUCACAUCAUAAACCAACAAUCCUCUCUCAAAGCCUUAAUAUUCACAAUGAGCUCAUGAAUUUGAUGGAUAAUAAACUUGUUGCAUCCACAUGAGAACAGGAGGAAAGAAAAAUAAGAUCAAUUUCACAUGUUAAAGAAGAUUUGGAUUAGUAUGGAAGCACCACCUCUAAUGUUCUUCCUUUCGUAAGUGCACGAUACCAAUUUGGAUGCUCUAGCCGACUGAGAGAGUCAUGUACAAGGAUUAAAAUACAACAAAAGGAAGAGACAGAAAAAGAUGGAGAGAGACAUAGAGAUUGCGCAGAGGGUGGGAAGCUAAAAUACAGAAACCUACCCAUCCAACAACAGCAUUUCUUCUCUCUUUCAAUGAUAGGCCAUAAUAGGAUCAUAGCCAAGAAUUGUUUCACGUGCACCAAAAACUACAUGAGAAGAUGAUAACCAUGACAAGAAUAAUCGCUUUAAUGCCUAUGAGCAUUUAGCGGGUAAACUAUGUCACCAACUGAGGAAGUCAAAGAGAUAAAAACAAGAAAGUGAACCAUUCUUUCAUGCCUUCGGAUCAAGGAAACAUGCAAUGCAUGCAAGUGCCCAUGGAAAAAGGUUACGGUAAUCAAACCAUGCACAACUAUGAUUACAAUUUUGCCUUAUGAUUUACAAAUGAGGAUCAUUGAGCCCUUUGGCCAUACAACCAAUGGUAAGGAUCAAAUAUACUGGAAGGUUAGGAUCGACAAUUUAGAAUCAUCCUCUAAAAUAUCUUCAAUAUUUACAAGCACAAUUAUCACAUGAGUUUAUCUAGAACACUCUAUUAAAAACCCUAAUAUAAAAGAAGAUUUUAGGGAAUACCAACUAGUGUCGCUAAGCGCCUUUAGGGU